UUCCAAUCGACCCUCGGCUCAGUGAAAUAACUAAUUAUUACCGAUAACAAAUAACUAAAAGUAAAUUGAAAAUGAAAAAGAAGAGAAAAAUUUAAUUACCGAAUAACCUCAGCUAAUAUAAUAAGGCCCAAAAACUAAAUUAAAAUAUAAUACUCCACUGGUGUUCAAAUAAAAUUGAUACAAGAGGAAACCGAUAAAAGAUAAGAAGAGAGAAGAACAAAUCAAGGCACUUGACAAAGUGGCAUGAAACCCAGCUCCGGUGUCCAUUCCCGGAGCCGGUGCCGGAGCAAAAUCGCCUUCUUGGGCUGUGGUUUUAGUAGCUACUAAAUAAAUCAGAGUGAAAAUGGUGAACAAGGUAAGUCUCAAGAUUUUUAAUGUUGCCAUUUUCGGAGCAAAAUCGCCUUCUUGAGCUGUGGUUUUAGUAGCUACUAAAUAAAUCAGAGUGAAAAUGGUGAACAAGGUAAGUCUCAAGAUUUUUAAUGUUGCCAUUUUCCUCUGAUUUAUGUUGAUAUAAUAAACAGAGAAAUUAAGAAGCAGGAAAUAGAGUUUAGGAGUGAAAGAAUAAAAUUCAGUUCAAUUCCAUUCCUGGAGGCUAAAAGUGGAAUAAAAAUUGUUCAUAUUUUAUUGAUAUAUAGUACAAGUAAGAUCUUUGAAUCAUUUAUGAGUUAUGCUUGUGUCCAUGCUCC
rnacentral:lncRNA from 1 species